rnacentral:rRNA from 1 species
GAUGAACGCUGGCGGCGUGCUUAACACAUGCAAGUCGAACGGUGAAGGCGGAGCUUGCUCUGCUGGAUCAGUGGCGAACGGGUGAGUAACACGUGAGCAAUCUGCCCCUGACUCUGGGAUAAGCGCUGGAAACGGCGUCUAAUACUGGAUACGAGCUGCGAAGGCAUCUUCAGCAGCUGGAAAGAAUUUCGGUCAGGGAUGAGCUCGCGGCCUAUCAGCUUGUUGGUGAGGUAAUGGCUCACCAAGGCGUCGACGGGUAGCCGGCCUGAGAGGGUGACCGGCCACACUGGGACUGAGAGACGGCGCAGACUCCUGCGGGAGGCAGCAGUGGGGAAUAUUGCACACUGGGCGAAAGACUGAUGCAGGAACGCCGCGUGAGGGACGACGGCCUUCGGGUUGUAAACCUCUUGUAGCAGGGAAGAAGCGAAAGUGACGGUACCUGCAGAAAAAGCGCCAGCUAACUACGUG